rnacentral:rRNA from 1 species
GACGAACGCUGGCGGCGUGCCUAAUACCAUGCAAGUAGAACGCUGAAGGAGGAGCUUGCUCUUCUGGAUGAGUUGCGAACGGGUGAGUAACGCGUAGGUAACCUGCCUGGUAGCGGGGGAUAACUAUUGGAAACGAUAGCUAAUACCGCAUAACAUUGACUAUUGCAUGAUAGUCAAUUGAAAGGUGCAAAUGCACCACUACCAGAUGGACCUGCGUUGUAUUAGCUAGUUGGUGGGGUAACGGCUCACCAAGGCGACGAUACAUAGCCGACCUGAGAGGGUGAUCGGCCACACUGGGACUGAGACACGGCCCAGACUCCUACGGGAGGCAGCAGUAGGGAAUCUUCGGCAAUGGACGGAAGUCUGACCGAGCAACGCCGCGUGAGUGAAGAAGGUUUUCGGAUCGUAAAGCUCUGUUGUAAGAGAAGAACGAGUGUGAGAGUGGAAAGUUCACACUGUGACG